rnacentral:rRNA from 1 species
UGACUCUCGGCAAUGGAUAUCUUGGCUCUUGCAUCGAUGAAGAGCGCAGCGAAAUGCGAUACGUGGUGUGAAUUGCAGAAUUCUGUGAACCAUCGAAUUUUUGAACGCAAGUUGCGCCCGAGGCCAAUUGGCUAAGGGCACGUCCGCCUGGGCGUCAAG